GACGAACGCUGGCGGCGUGCUUAACACAUGCAAGUCGAGCGGUAAGGCCCUUUCGGGGGUACACGAGCGGCGAACGGGUGAGUAACACGUGGGUGACCUGCCCUUAGCUCUGGGAUAAGCCUGGGAAACUGGGUCUAAUACCGGAUAUGACCUCAUGACUCAUGUUGUGGGGUGGAAAGCCUUGUGCGGCUAGGGAUGGGCCCGCGGUCUAUCAGCUUGUUGGUGGGGUAAUUGCCACCAAGGCGACGACGGGUAGCCGGCCUGAGAGGGCGACCGGCCACACUGGGACUGAGACACGGCCCAGACUCCUACGGGAGGCAGCAGUGGGGAAUCUUGCGCAAUGGGCGAAAGCCUGACGCAGCGACGCCGCGUGAGGGAUGACGGCCU
rnacentral:rRNA from 1 species